GACGAACGCUGGCGGCGUGCUUAACACAUGCAAGUCGAACGGAAAGGCCCCCUUGUGGGGUACUCGAGUGGCGAACGGGUGAGUAACACGUGAGUAACCUACCCUUGACUUUGGGAUAACUUCAGGAAACUGGGGCUAAUACCGGAUAGGAGCUCCUGCUGCAUGGUGGGGGUUGGAAAGUUUCGGCGGUUGGGGAUGGACUCGCGGCUUAUCAGCUUGUUGGUGGGGUAGUGGCUCACCAAGGCUUUGACGGGUAGCCGGCCUGAGAGGGUGACCGGCCACAUUGGGACUGAGAUACGGCCCAGACUCCUACGGGAGGCAGCAGUGGGGAAUAUCGCACAAUGGGCGGAAGCCUGAUGCAGCAACGCCGCGUGCGGGAUGACGGCCUUCGGGUUGUAAACCGCUUUCGCCUGUGACGAAGCGUGAGUGACGGUAAUGGGUAAAGAAGCACCGGCUAACUACGUG
rnacentral:rRNA from 1 species